CCCUUAGAUGUUCUGGGCGGCACGCGCGCUACAAUGGUCUUCGCAAACGGAUGCAUUCUCGAAGGAGAAUGCCAAUCUUGGAAUCUAUGCCUUGGUCGGGACAGUUGCUUGCAAUUUUUCGACUCGAACCAGGAAUUCCUUGUAAUCGUGAUUCAUCACAUCACGAUGAAUACGUCCCUGCCCUUUGUACACACCGCCCGUCGCUCCUACCGAUCGAAGAGUUAGGUGAAUUGUUUUGAUCGAUAAGAUUUGACUAUGGUCAACUCUCGUUGGGAAAUUCUGUGAAUCUGACUGUUUAGAGGAAGGAAAAGUCGUAACA
rnacentral:rRNA from 1 species